UACAGAGGGGGCAAGCGUUGUCCGGAAUUACUGGGCGUACAGCGCGCGCAGGCGGUGCAGGACGGGCCGUGUGACAAUCGUCGGCUUAACCGACGGAGGCCAGGGUACACGACUGAACUGGAGGCAGAGAGAGGGAUGUGGAAUACCCGGUGGAGCGGUGAAAUGCGUAGAGAUCGGGUGGAACACCAGGGGCGAAGGCGGCAUCCUGGCUCUGUACUGACGCUGAGGCGCGCGAGCGUGGGGAGCAAACCGG
rnacentral:rRNA from 1 species